rnacentral:tRNA from 1 species
GUGCCUGUGACUCAAUGGAGUAGGGUGCUGGCCCCAUAUGCCAGAGGUGGCGGGUUCAAACCCAGCCCUGACCCA